ensembl:lincRNA Gm11412 predicted gene 11412
AGACACAAGAUGGGAAGAUGGGGGAAGCGAAGGAUGAAGAGCUAGGGCAGAGCCUGAGUUGUGAGGAGGGAGCAAAAAUCUGCCCCCAGGACUGUCUGAGUCCACACUGGCUGCUCGGCUCAUGGUGCAGGUGUGUGGGAGCCCUCCUCCACAUGGUCUCCACAGCAACCCGCCACUCUAAUCUGCUGAAUAUGAAAAGAAGAAACAGAAAGAGAAAAGCCAUCCACCCCCUUCUGCUCCAUCCAUGAGUCCAAAAGAAGGAUAUCGUCUCCAGGCAUUCCUGAUAAUACCCCAGCCAUUGCCCUGGCAACAGUCACAGGGAGCCGGCAUGGCCUGUGGAGAAAGCAGUCCCUGUCUCUAGCUCAGGCGGCUUCCUCCUCCUCCUCUUCUCCCACCACGGAUCUCCUAAUAGCCCCUAACAAUUGUGCACCCCACUUUUGGCCCACUGCCUCAUGCCCUCCAGCCUGCCAGCGGACCACUGACACAGAGAAUACAGAAAUCCACAUACUUUUCUCCUAAUGGUACUGAAAUGAUACUUGCAGGCAUGCAUACAGGCUUCUAAGUGUGUAUAGAUGAGAUUGUGUGUGUGUGUGUCUGUGUGUCUGUGCCUGUGUAUAGAUUUGAAAGACUCUUCACCUCUAGCUCCCCUGCAGAUGAACUGUGUUUACACGCUGAAUGAAGAAGUGGAGACUACUUCUUAUCAAAGCUAAGAGUUUGGAAAAGCCACCGCUUACAACUCCCAUUCUCUCAGCUGAGCUGGCUGAGGAGGUUUGCAGAGCCCUUUGCUCUGAGCCUCAUACCCAGCAGUGAAAGCUCUCAUUUGUCUUAAGGCCAUCAUGUUGAUGCAGCUGGCUUUGACACUGCUUACCUCAGCAUUUUUUUUUUUUUCGGUUGAAAGACAGAAGGCUUCCUUGUGAUCCCAGCCUUUUCCUAUCAAAUGACACUCAGCCUGGGUUUGGGUGACUUAUUUACUGGCACUAGACCAGUAAAAACAAAAAUGAACGUUCGCAACUAAUAAAUCCUCGUGCUUAGAUAGCUAGAGCCACAGCGGUGGGAUUACACCAGAAUGCUCGGCCGUUACUGGAGGGCUCCCAGGCUGUGCGGAGCCUAGUAAGUCAGAGGAGGAAAGGGGACCAAAUCAAGGAGCAGAGAAAUUACGUGCAGCAUGGGUUUUGGACAAUGAAAACCUUUUAUCUUCACUCUACGAUGUGCUUUCCGGGUGGGAGAUUCUACAGGCAGAAAUAGGGUGCACUGUGUUUGCAUCAUCGCGGUGAGCCUGCUAAGCUUGCCACCUUGACCUUCCUUUCUUGAAAAUCAAACCACACCCAUCUUCAGUAAGAUGAAAAAAGACAGCUAAGAUUCUGGACAGCGCAAUCACAGCUUUUCAGAGAACUGAAAGGAGCUAUUUUUAUAGAGGGCACGAGGUCAAGAAUGUUUAGCAAACAAAUUGAAUGUCAUCUACUCGCAGAGAAUUCUCCAAGGACCUUCCUUCUCCCAGGCCCUUGUGGAAAGUGAGGGCACCUCUGAGAGGCGGGUGCAAUGAUGUUUUUCCUUGUUUCAGAAUUGAUCUUUGGUAUAGAAGAACAUUUUUAUGUUAAUAUAAAUCCAAAAGAAUCCCACCAUAAAAUAUCGACACAGCCAAAGCUUUCCUUCUUCCACGACUACUUCUAAGACUCUGAGCAUCCACACUUCCUUUAAGGUUAGGUCUGCUGGGGCAGCUACCAUUGUGUCACAGUGGAAAACUUCCUCAUAGGAUUUAACCUGAUGGAACUAAAUAGAGAUUAAAAAGCAGAGGAUUUUUUUAAAGUAUAAGUCAAAUGGCCUUUGUACAAGCUAAUGGGCAUUUGACUAUUUGGAAAGAUGAUUGACAGCCAUUGAUUUCUCUCUUCCUUUUUAAUUUUGGCUUCAUGACUGAGAGACUACCACAAAGGAUAUUUACUGGUGACAUAUUAGAACACAGCCACCCAGCGGUUCGACUUGUUUGUAUAAUUCCUUUAAUCUAUGUUGUUGCCACUGUCAUCCUGUUUAGCUGUGAUGUCCCCUCAUUACAAAGAAGAUACCUACAAUGAGUGGAUAAUGGGAGCUAUGCUCUCUCAAAGCACCCAAUGAAAGAACAUAUUACAAGUCUUUCAGAGCUCUGCGAAAUUAUUGCAUCUGAUGGCUUUGACAGUGCCAUCCUUAAGGUAAAACCAGAUGAAUCAAAUGUGCAUAGACUAGUUCAGUCGUCUCAUUAGGAAGCUUUUAGAAUGCUUGCUGUCCACCAAUGACGCAGCCUCUUUAAAUGCUUUCAUAAGUCUUCAGGGUUGAAAUGUAAUGUCUCUGUGAUGGAACAUAGUUAGACACUCCUCCCUCUCCAUGGAGAGAGAGAGAGAGAGAGAGAGAGAGAGAGAGAGAGAGAGGAUGGGAAUGAAAUAUGUAUACUCUCUACUCAUUGUCUCUAAGGAUAAUCAAAUACUGUGUAUGUGUGCAGUGUGUGAAUGUAUGUACAUGUUUAUGUAUGGGUGGUACACGCAUAUGAAUAUUCACAUCCAUGUGUAUGCAUGCAGAGUCUGGAGAAGGGUGUAAUGUAUUUUCCUUGGCCUGAGACUGGGUCUCUCACUGGAUAGAAAGUGUGCCAUUUUUAGUAGGCUUUUACCCGGGACCUGGAUUUAUCUCGGAUCCUUGUGUUUAUAAAGCAUGUAUUCUUAACUACUGAGCUAUCUCCCCAGUCCCAAGGAUCAAUUAUCUUCUGAUUAUUUAAAUACUUAGAAAAUGAGCUAUCAUGAAUUCAAAUAAUCUUUAAAUGUUGUG